rnacentral:rRNA from 1 species
UACGGAGGGUGCGAGCGUUAAUCGGAAUUACUGGGCGUAAAGCGUGCGUAGGCGGUUUGAUAAGUCGGGUGUGAAAGCCCCGGGCUUAACCUGGGAAUUGCAUUCGAUACUAUCUGACUCGAGUCUAGGAGAGGGAAGCGGAAUUCCGGGUGUAGCGGUGAAAUGCGUAGAUAUCCGGAGGAACAUCAGUGGCGAAGGCGGCUUCCUGGCCUAAGACUGACGCUGAGGUACGAAAGCGUGGGGAGCAAACAGG